ACGGUCAUAUCACAAACACCGGUUCCCUUACGAUCACCGAAGUUAAGCAACAUCGAUCCUGAUCCAUAUUUGGAUGGGUGACCGCUUCAGAACACCAGGUGCUGUAAG